rnacentral:lncRNA from 1 species
CUAAUAUUACCCUGAUACUAAAACCAGAAAAAGACAGUGAAAAAAAAAAAGAAAGAAAAGAAGCAUUGAUGCGGCUGUCCAGCCUGUUGGAUCAGCUGCAACCCACCCUGGUAUUGACUGAGGGCUCUCCCUGGGCUGGGCCGAGCAGGAGGAGGCUGAGCAGUGAAAACGGUGACCCCUGUCCUCAAGGAGCUAACGAGAAGAGCAAAUGGCUGGCAACGGUGCAAGACACAGAAUGAGCAACGGGCUGCACAAAUCGCGAUUUACGUGGCUUUGGAAAAAAACGCAUCUCUCAAGUUGGGGCUGUCAUACAGCAUUGGCUUCUUCGUAAUCAAUGCGUUUCAGCAAUAUAUGGGGGUGAGUUUACUUUCCAGUUGGCUUCCCUGAGGGUGUUGGAUAAAAUUGCAAUUUAGAUUCAA